rnacentral:rRNA from 1 species
AGCGAACGCUGGCGGCAGGCUUAACACAUGCAAGUCGAACGGGCGUAGCAAUACGUCAGUGGCAGACGGGUGAGUAACGCGUGGGAACGUACCUUUGGUUCGGAACAACCCAGGGAAACUUGGGCGUAAUACCGGAUAAGCCCUUACGGGGAAAGAUUUAUCGCCGAAAGAUCGGCCCGCGUCUGAUUAGCUAGUUGGUGAGGUAAUGGCUCACCAAGGCGACGAUCAGUAGCUGGUCUGAGAGGAUGAUCAGCAUCACUGGGACUGAGACACGGCCCAGACUCCUACGGGAGGCAGCAGUGGGGAAUAUUGGACAAUGGGCGCAAGCCUGAUCCAGCCAUGCCGCGUGGAUGAUGAAGGCCUUAGGGUUGUAAAGUCCUUUUAGC